GCAGUCAGUGGUGCAGCAGGUUAGAGCACGUCCCACCGGAUUAGGUGAGAUGUGUGUUCGAAUCCCGCCUGACGCA